CUCAGUUUACUUAUUUGCGAAAGGAAGGUGGUGUCCUAGAAGAGCACAUUCAAAAAUCCUACUGGUCCAUGAUCAAUUGAGUGUACCACACUUAACAGGAAGGUGGGUAAACUGAGGCUCAGGCAGUGGGGCUGUCCUAGAAGGGAGUUGGGGCAAAGCUGGAAAAGCAAAUCAAACCGUAAUAGAACGGGACUCCACACCCAAGCACGAGCCCCACAGAGCGCUGGGAGAGGAGGCUCAUGUACUUCCACUCCUUAGGGAUCAGCCCACACCCAGUGUGUAAGUCCACUCCUCGCCCACGUGAGUUGAGACCAUUGCUUGCUCCAGGCCCUUUUGCUUCCAGGUACUGCAGGGUUCUCUGAGGGCAGGGAGGCCCCAAGUGAGUCAUUCCUAAACCAUUUCCUUCAAACCGGAAAUGGAGUUUGAGUUCGGAGAGUGACUGCGAUGGGCCCCUGAGACCUGGGCUGGAGGAUGGACUGACCAUGGCAGCUGCCCUGGAGGGGCUGAAGCAGUUGGCAGGUUUUGACUUCAAAGUGAAAGUUUACUUCUCCUGACCGUGUCCGGUGACAGCUGCUAACGAUGCUACCUCAGAGGACUGUAGCCAUUUACGGGUGCUUCACACACACUGCCUUGACUUGCACAUGGCCACUGUUUGUGAAUAUUAAAGUGAGGCUGAGUGCACACGGCUACGUCCACUCACAGACAGGGACACUGGAAGUCAGGAGGUAACCUGCCCAGCAGGACAUGGAGGUUAGCUAAUGGUCAACUUGGAACACCCAGCUGAACUGAAUCAGCAUGGUGCUGGGUGCGGGAGGCCCACCUGAGGAUUGCUGCCAACAGCAUGAGAGGAGAACUGGAGGGGAAGAUGGCGCUCUGCUGAUUCUCCUGGAGAAGCUGUCACUCUGAUUUUCCUGACAUGAACUCAGCUGUUCUCAUGGUUGGAGGAGCUCUGGUCCUGGCUGUCACUGAGGAUGGCUGCAGUUCUUUUCAGGGGAGCUCUGGUCCUUACCUUGAGCGUAGCUUCCUGGCUCAAGUGCAGAUCCCUCAGCCUGCUGGCACAGCUCCUGCAUCCCACUGGCACAGACUUUCUAGCUUCUACUGCUGACCUCUGAGCCUUCCCAGGGCAGAUCCUUGAUACAACCUUGCAUGAGACAUUACCAUGGGCUCUAGGUCUUCAGCUGGAUUUGUGCAGGACAUUGCCAUGGGAUCCAGGACCUCAGCUAGAUCAUUUGAGUCUCCACUCACUCUUUUAUAUUUGACUUUUUGGAUGAAUAUUAUAAAAUGAUCCUAUAAAUUAUGUGUCCUGUAUUAUAUUUUUCCAUUUAUAACAACAAAGUGUAUUGGUGUAUUGACAACAAUACACCAAAUAUCUUCAGCAUCCUUUUAAUUAAAAUCUGGCUUCUGU